rnacentral:rRNA from 1 species
AUUGAACGCUGGCGGCAGGCCUAACACAUGCAAGUCGAGCGAGCGGCGGACGGGUGAGUAAUGUCUGGGAAACUGCCUGAUGGAGGGGGAUAACUACUGGAAACGGUAGCUAAUACCGCAUACCAUCAGAUGUGCUCAGAUGGGAUUGGCUAGUAGGUGGGGUAACGGCUCACCUAGGCGACGAUCCCUAGCUGGUCUGAGAGGGUGACCAGCCACACUGGAGCUGAGAACCGGACCAGACUCCUACGGGAGGCAGCAGUGGGGAAUAAUGCACAAAGGGCGGAAGCCUGAAGGAGCGAUGCCGAGUGUGUGAAGAAGGCCUUCGGGUUGUAAAGCACUUUCAGCGGGGAGGCGUUACCCGCAGAAGAAUCACCGGCUAACUCCGUGCCAGCAGCCGCGGUAAUUC